ensembl:lncRNA
GGUGGAAACCAAUGCACGUGCACACACGCAACCGCACACAAUGGGGGUGUGUGCUGUGCAUAUCUACACACAGGCACAGCUAACCAGAACGAAGUCCCGCCCACUCUCACACGUGAUUGGCCCACAUCAUCAUGCCAUUGCCACCAUGUGUCAUAGCUCCUCUGUAGCUGUGGCAGUCAGAGUGGAUCCAGACCAUGGUCUACUAACACAAGGGGAUUGCCGGUGCUGGGACCGUACCUCAGUGUGUCCAGACGUGGCCAGGUACAGUCAUGCAAAGAUUGGCCAAUUUUGUCUGGGAACCACUUUUCUGGAACCCGGACCCAAGGAAAGCCCAGACACAAGGAG